rnacentral:rRNA from 1 species
CCAUGGGCCUCAAAUAAUGUGUGACUACCCCCUAAAUUUAAGCAUA